GACGAACGCUGGCGGCGUGCCUAAUACAUGCAAGUAGAACGCUGAAGACUUUAGCUUGCUAAAGUUGGAAGAGUUGCGAACGGGUGAGUAACGCGUAGGUAACCUGCCCUUCAGUGGGGGAUAACAUCCGGAAACGGGUGCUAAUACCGCAUAGUUUCUUUUUCCGCCUGGAAGAAGAAGGAAAGAUGGCCUUUGCGCUAUCACUGAGGGAUGGACCCGCGGCGUAUUAGUUAGUUGGUGGGGUAAUGGCCUACCAAGACGAUGAUACGUAGCCGACCUGAGAGGGUGAUCGGCCACAUUGGGACUGAGACACGGCCCAA
rnacentral:rRNA from 1 species